UGGGGAAUAUUGCACAAUGGGCGAAAGCCUGAUGCAGCAACGCCGCGUGAGUGAUGAAGGUCUUCGGAUUGUAAAGCUCUGUCUUUUGGGACGAUAAUGACGGUACCAAAGGAGGAAGCCACGGCUAACUACGUGCCAGCAGCCGCGGUAAUACGUAGGUGGCGAGCGUUGUCCGGAUUUACUGGGCGUAAAGGGUGCGUAGGCGGAUGUUUAAGUGAGAUGUGAAAUACCCGGGCUUAACUUGGGUGCUGCAUUUCAAACUGGAUAUCUAGAGUGCAGGAGAGGAGAAUGGAAUUCCUAGUGUAGCGGUGAAAUGCGUAGAGAUUAGGAAGAACACCAGUGGCGAAGGCGAUUCUCUGGACUGUAACUGACGCUGAGGCACGAAAGCGUGGGUAGCAAACAGGAUUAGAUACCCUGGUAGUCCACGCCGUAAACGAUGAGUACUAGGUGUAGGAGGUAUCGACCCCUUCUGUGCCGCAGUAAAACACAUU
rnacentral:rRNA from 1 species